rnacentral:rRNA from 1 species
CAGUAGCCGCGGUAAUACGGAGGGUGCAAGCGUUAAUCGGAAUUACUGGGCGUAAAGCGCACGCAGGGGGUUUGUUAAGUCAGAUGUGAAAUCCCCGAGCUUAACUUGGGAACUGCAUUUGAAACUGGCAAGCUAGAGUCUUGUAGAGGGGGGUAGAAUUCCAGGUGUAGCGGUGAAAUGCGUAGAGAUCUGGAGGAAUACCGGUGGCGAAGGCGGCCCCCUGGACAAAGACUGACGCUCAGGUGCGAAAGCGUGGGGAGCAAACAGGAUUAGAGACCCCAGUAGUCCCUGUCUCUUAUAA